UGCAACUCCGGGCAGGGGGCGGCGUGAAUAGGGAGUGUGCAAGCGUUAAUCGGAAUUACUGGGCGGAAAGCGUGCGCAGGCGGCUUAUUAAGUCAGAUGUGAAAUCCCUAGGCUCAACCUAGGAACUGCAUUUGAAACUAAUAAACUAGAGUAUCGUAGAGGGAGGUAGAAUUCCAGGUGUAGCGGUGAAAUGCGUAGAUAUCUGGAGGAAUACCAGUGGCGAAGGCGACCUCCUGGACGAAAACUGACGCUCAAGCACGAAAGCAUGGGGAGCAAACAGGAUUAGAUACCCGUGUAGUC
rnacentral:rRNA from 1 species